GUCUAUGGUCAUACCACCCUGAAUGCGCCCGAUCUUGUCUGAUUUCAGAAGCUAAGUAGGGUCGGGCUUGGUUAGUACUUGGAUGGGAGACCGCCUGCGAAUACCAGGUGCUGUAGGCU
rnacentral:rRNA from 1 species